GUGUCUCUCGGGGUUCCUCUGUUGCAGUUAUUAUAGAGGUCAAAUCCUUAUUUGAAUUUUAUGAAGAUGUCUUUAGAGUAAUUUCAAAUAAUCUUAUAUGUCUUUAGCGAAUAAAGUGAUCACUGGAUAUGUAUACCCAUCAAAUUUUGGUAUCACAACUUAUGAAAAAUGGUUACUUGAGAUGAUUUAGUUGAAAAUAUAUAAUGUAUGUCAUUAGUCCAUUCACUCAGUCCUCUGUCAAGAUCACCAGCAUUUCAACAAUAUUCACAAUUCAAAUUGAUGAAUGAAUUUCUAACAUCUGAAGCACAAAUUAGUUAUAUCUAUUAUUACUCCACCAACUGUGUGUAUUGUGGUUGGUUUACGUAAAGCAUCCCUGUUAUAUUGGAGAAAUGCAGCUUGUUUUGUGGCUCUAUUUAUUUCAACAAAUCUUAUGUACCAGAAUAUGUAUUAUUUUCCUUAUGAAUUCUUAGUUCAACUUUGGUAGUUUAGUAUAGUUGUUAAUGUAGUCUAGUUAUUUUUUAUUUCAGGUUUAGUGUUCAUUUGUUGUUUGUUGUCCCUCUGGUCCAGAUUCUAGUUUGAAUUAUGUUAAUAUUAAUUCCAGUAUAAUGUUUUUGAUUUUUGUAAAUGUUGGUGAUUUUAGGGAAUUGGCUCUUAUUCAUAAUUUUAAUCAUUUUGCUACUGUCCCUAUAGCAACUUAUUUGAUUUGGUCAUUUGCAGCUUUUAAGAGCUUCUCAACAAGAAAUAUAGGAUUUUUUAUUUCCAGAAGAGAUGCUACCAUUUUAACUUUGUGACCGAACAGACUCUUACAAAAUGCCAACAUUAGUCAGUUAUUUGUUAUUUGAUGAUUUCAAUAAGUAGUUUUAGGUGUAUUUAAUUACAUGUUUAAUUGUCUUAAUAGAGGUAUAGAACAAACACAGUGGCUUGAUGAACAACUCAAUUAUCUGUAUGGUUGUUUUUGUCUCUGGUAUGUCAAUAUUCCUUUUAUGUAUUAAAACACAUCUGUUUCUAUAUCUAUAUUAAACACAAACGUGAAGGCUAUCUAUAUUCCAUAUAAUAAAAAACAAAAGGCUGUUGAAUUAAUUGAUAUAGGACAGUAUAGGAUGGUAAUUUGAUAGAAAGAGGGUGGUGUUGUGAAAAAUCUGAAUAUAUUUGGGUUUUAUUAUAUAACCACUUGUUUCUAAUAUUUGUUUAAUGUGUAGUUAUGAUUGUGGUAUAUUGGUGAUUAAAUAUAUGGAGUUAUGGGACUACACACCAAAAUUUGAUGGGAAUAAAAUGCCCAAUUACACAACGGUUUGUAAUUUUUAUGUAUAUGGUUAUUUCAAUAUGAUUUAUGUGAAAAGGUUUUAAAGUGUAUUUAAUAACGAUAUUAUUAUCGCAGGAACAAUUACAAGUUGUGCGACAACAGAUGGUUUGUCAGUGGAUAUUACACAAAGAUAAUGUUCAUCGUAGUAUGGUAUUGAAGAGAUGUGGGAUGGUUUAGGCAUUGAUUAAGUCAUGAACUAGGACAACAUCACUGAGUUGAAUAAAUUGAAGUAGGGGAACAAUUAAUGUACAUAUUGAAUACAAAUGACAUCAAAUAUGAUUGAUUACGACAUGAUAAGUUGGGCAAUGAAAUGUUGAUAUAGUGAUUACUUUGUUGUCAAUAUUUUUUGCAAAGGGAAAUUUGAGCUUCACUUGCAAAUUGUAUGAGAUUUUUAGUGAUUCAGGAUGUGAUAUUUAACACUUUUAUUGUUGUACAAAACGCAGUCCAGAACCGACCACAUACAGUUGAAGGGAUAACCACUAACUGUACCAAAAAAAGUGGUCUUUN
rnacentral:lncRNA from 1 species